rnacentral:rRNA from 1 species
AUUGAACGCUGGCGGCAUGCUUUACACAUGCAAGUCGAACGGUAACAGGCCGCAAGGUGCUGACGAGUGGCGAACGGGUGAGUAAUGCAUCGGAACGUGCCCAGUCGUGGGGAUAACGCAGCGAAAGCUGCGCUAAUACCGCAUACGAUCUAUGGAUGAAAGCGGGGGACCGUAAGGCCUCGCGCGAUUGGAGCGGCCGAUGUCAGAUUAGGAGUUGGUGGGGUAAAGGCUCACCAAGCCAACGAUCUGUAGCUGGUCUGAGAGGACGACCAGCCACACUGGGACUGAGACACGGCCCAGACUCCUACGGAGGCAGCAGUGGGAAUUUGGACAAUGGGCGCAAGCCUGAUCCAGCAAUGCCGCGUGCAGGAAGAAGGCCUUCGG